rnacentral:misc_RNA from 1 species
GAUGAAGAACGUAGCGAAAUGCGAUAAGUAAUGUGAAUUGCAGAAUUCAGUGAAUCAUCGAAUCUUUGAACGCACAUUGCGCCCCCUGGUAUUCCGGGGGGCAUGCCUGUUCGAGCGUCAUUACAACCCUCAAGCUCUGCUUGGUAUUGGGCCCCGCCAGUUCUGGCGGGCCCUAAAGUCAGUGGCGGUGCCUUCCGGCUCCGAGCGUAGUAAUUCUUCUCGCUCUGGAGACCCGGCUGUGUGCUUGCCAACAACCCCCAAUUUUUUAAGGUUGACCUCGGAUCAGGUAGGGAUACCCGCUGAACUUAAGCAUAUCAAUAAGCGGAGGA